AGAGAAUAGAUACCCUGGUAGUCCCAGCUGUAAACGAUGCAGACUCGGUGAUGAAAUUGGCUUAUUGCUAAAUUCAGUGCCGCAGGGAAGCCGUUAAGUUUGCCGCCUGGGGAGUACGGUCGCAAGACUGAAACUUGAAGGAAUUGGCGGGGGAGCACCACAAGGGGUGAAGCCUGCGGUUCAAUUGGAGUCAACGCCGGAAAUCUUACCGGGGGCGACAGCAGAGUGAAGGUCAAGCUGAAGACUUUACCAGACAAGCUGAGAGGAGGUGCAUGGCCGUCGCCAGCUCGUGCCGUGAGGUGUCCUGUUAAGUCAGGUAACGAGCGAGAUCCCUGCCUCUAGUUGCUACCAUUAUUCUCAGGAGUAGUGGAGCUAAUUAGAGGGACCACCGUCGCUGAGACGGAGGAAGGUGGGGGCUACGGCAGGUCAGUAUG
rnacentral:rRNA from 1 species